CACCUUCUGUUUCAUCGCCACAAUUUCAGGUAUGGUCUUCAAGUCAUUGAAUAAUAAAUUUAUAUGAGUAAUUCAUUUAGAUAAAAUGAUUAUUAUAUGUGCUCAUAAUUUCAUUUAGAUAAUAAUAUCAUAUUAUUUGAAGGAAAAAAAUAUAUGUCAAAUUCAUUUUUUUUUCUAACUAUUUUUUAUUUUACUUUAAUAGUUACUUAUUUGUAACAAAUAAUUAUGUAUCAUAGUUAUUUGAGUAAGUAUACAAGUGUGGAUAAAUUUUUACAACUUACUUUAAAAAAAAAACUUCAUAAAAACUAAGGAAAAUUUUAUUGUUGUUUUUUUAAAUAGAACCUGUUAUAUUUUGAAGAAAUAAAAAAUCAUCAUGGGAUUUGUCAUAGUUAUACAAAACGGAUAUGGUAUGAUGAUUUGUUAAACAUGACAAAUCUAUAAGCGUGACUACUAUGUCAUGUUAUAUAUGUUGAACAUCUUAACAUAGUUGUUUCAUGGAUGCAAGUACGUAAUUUUUUACAUGUUGUUAUUGAUUGUAUUUUAUUAUAUUUGUCUGAUAAAAAAUUAUAAGUUGUUAUUGAUUGUAUUUUUUAAUAUUCAUAUGAUAAAAAAAUUAGGAUUCAGCCGAUAUUGAUUGUGUGUUUUUUUUUUCUUUACAGAUAUUUGAUGACUCGAGAUCAAAUCACCGGAUCACAGUAAAUAAGUUCGAAAACGUCGUGUGGAUUUUAUUUUGAAAUUAAUUGAAGAAAAUGAAGAUGCUAAUAUAUGUCUAUUGAAUAUUGCUAUAUUGUGGUUUUGUAAUUUAGUUAAUGGAUAUCUAAUUAUUAGUCGGAAAUUUUGUACUCUAUAUUUUUUUGUAUAAACAUGAGAUAUUGUGAUAUUGUAUAUUUUGAUUAUUAGAUAUUUAUAUAAAAUUGUGA
rnacentral:lncRNA from 1 species